UACAGAGGUCUCAAGCGUUGUUCGGAUUCAUUGGGCGUAAAGGGUGCGUAGGCGGCGGGGUAAGUCGGGUGUGAAAUCUCAGAGCUCAACUCUGAAACUGCACUCGAUACUGCUCUGCUUGAGGACUGGAGAGGAGACUGGAAUUCACGGUGUAGCAGUGAAAUGCGUAGAUAUCGUGAGGAAGACCAGUGGCGAAGGCGGGUCUCUGGACAGUUCCGUGACGCUGAGGCGCGAAGGCCAGGGGAGCAAACGGG
rnacentral:rRNA from 1 species